CCCUUAGAUGUUCUGGGCCGCACGCGCGCUACACUGAUGCAUUCAACGAGUUUUGUUUGCUCCUUGGCCGAGAGGCCUGGGCAAUCUUUUGAACUUGCAUCGUGAUAGGGAUAGAUUAUUGCAAUUAUUAAUCUUGAACGAGGAAUUCCUAGUAAACGCAGAUCAUCAAUCUGCAUUGAUUACGUCCCUGCCCUUUGUACACACCGCCCGUCGCACCUACCGAUUGAAUGGUCCGGUGAAGCCUCGGGAUUGUGGUUGGUUUCCUUUAUUGGAGAUUGAUUGCGAGAACUUGUCUAAACCUUAUCAUUUAGAGGAAGGUGGAGUCGUAACA
rnacentral:rRNA from 1 species